GGGUUGUGAGGUUAAGCGACUAAGCGUACACGGUGGAUGCCCUGGCAGUCAGAGGCGAUGAAGGACGUGCUAAUCUGCGAAAAGCGUCGGUAAGGUGAUAUGAACCGUUAUAACCGGCGAUGUCCGAAUGGGGAAACCCAGUGCAAUUCGUUGCACUAUCGUUAACUGAAUACAUAGGUUAACGAGGCGAACCGGGGGAACUGAAACAUCUAAGUACCCCGAGGAAAAGAAAUCAACCGAGAUUCCCCCAGUAGCGGCGAGCGAACGGGGAGCAGCCCAGAGUCUGAAUCAGCUUGUGUGUUAGUGGAACGGUCUGGAAAGUCCGACGGUACAGGGUGAUAGUCCCGUACACCAAAAUGCACAGGCUGUGAACUCGAAGAGUAGGGCGGGACACGUGGUAUCCUGUCUGAAUAUGGGGGGACCAUCCUCCAAGGCUAAAUACUCCUGACUGACCGAUAGUGAACCAGUACCGUGAGGGAAAGGCGAAAAGAACCCCGGCGAGGGGAGUGAAAAAGAACCUGAAACCGUGUACGUACAAGCAGUGGGAGCACCUUCGGGUGUGACUGCGUACCUUUUGUAUAAUGGGUCAGCGACUUAUAUUCUGUAGCAAGGUUAACCGUAUAGGGGAGCCGCAGGGAAACCGAGUCUUAACUGGGCGUUAAGUUGCAGGGUAUAGACCCGAAACCCGGUGAUCUAGCCAUGGGCAGGUUGAAGGUUGGGUAACACUAACUGGAGGACCGAACCGACUAAUGUUGAAAAAUUAGCGGAUGACUUGUGGCUGGGGGUGAAAGGCCAAUCAAACCGGGAGAUAGCUGGUUCUCCCCGAAAGCUAUUUAGGUAGCGCCUCGUGAAUUCAUCUUCGGGGGUAGAGCACUGUUUCGGCUAGGGGGUCAUCCCGACUUACCAACCCGAUGCAAACUACGAAUACCGAAGAAUGUUAUCACGGGAGACACACGGCGGGUGCUAACGUCCGUCGUGAAGAGGGAAACAACCCAGACCGCCAGCUAAGGUCCCAAAGUCAUGGUUAAGUGGGAAACGAUGUGGGAAGGCACAGACAGCCAGGAUGUUGGCUUAGAAGCAGCCAUCAUUUAAAGAAAGCGUAAUAGCUCACUGGUCGAGUCGGCCUGCGCGGAAGAUGUAACGGGGCUAAACCAUGCACCGAAGCUGCGGCAGCGACACUAUGUGUUGUUGGGUAGGGGAGCGUUCUGUAAGCCUGCGAAGGUGACCUGUGAGGGUUGCUGGAGGUAUCAGAAGUGCGAAUGCUGACAUAAGUAACGAUAAAGCGGGUGAAAAGCCCGCUCGCCGGAAGACCAAGGGUUCCUGUCCAACGUUAAUCGGGGCAGGGUGAGUCGACCCCUAAGGCGAGGCCGAAAGGCGUAGUCGAUGGGAAACAGGUUAAUAUUCCUGUACUUGGUGUUACUGCGAAGGGGGGACGGAGAAGGCUAUGUUAGCCGGGCGACGGUUGUCCCGGUUUAAGCAUGUAGGCUGGUUGUCCAGGCAAAUCCGGAUAAUCAAGGCUGAGGUGUGAUGACGAGGCACUACGGUGCUGAAGUAACAAAUGCCCUGCUUCCAGGAAAAGCCUCUAAGCAUCAGGUAACAUUAAAUCGUACCCCAAACCGACACAGGUGGUCAGGUAGAGAAUACCAAGGCGCUUGAGAGAACUCGGGUGAAGGAACUAGGCAAAAUGGUGCCGUAACUUCGGGAGAAGGCACGCUGGUGUGUAGGUGAAGCCCCUGCGGGUGGAGCUGAGACCAGUCGAAGAUACCAGCUGGCUGCAACUGUUUAUUAAAAACACAGCACUGUGCAAACACGAAAGUGGACGUAUACGGUGUGACGCCUGCCCGGUGCCGGAAGGUUAAUUGAUGGGGUUAUCCGUAAGGAGAAGCUCUUGAUCGAAGCCCCGGUAAACGGCGGCCGUAACUAUAACGGUCCUAAGGUAGCGAAAUUCCUUGUCGGGUAAGUUCCGACCUGCACGAAUGGCGUAAUGAUGGCCAGGCUGUCUCCACCCGAGACUCAGUGAAAUUGAACUCGCUGUGAAGAUGCAGUGUACCCGCGGCAAGACGGAAAGACCCCGUGAACCUUUACUAUAGCUUGACACUGAACAUUGAGCCUUGAUGUGUAGGAUAGGUGGGAGGCUUUGAAGCGUGGACGCCAGUCUGCGUGGAGCCAACCUUGAAAUACCACCCUUUAAUGUUUGAUGUUCUAACGUUGGCCCCUUAUCGGGGUUGCGGACAGUGUCUGGUGGGUAGUUUGACUGGGGCGGUCUCCUCCCAAAGCGUAACGGAGGAGCACGAAGGUUAGCUAAUCCUGGUCGGACAUCAGGAGGUUAGUGCAAUGGCAUAAGCUAGCUUGACUGCGAGCGUGACGGCGCGAGCAGGUGCGAAAGCAGGUCAUAGUGAUCCGGUGGUUCUGAAUGGAAGGGCCAUCGCUCAACGGAUAAAAGGUACUCCGGGGAUAACAGGCUGAUACCGCCCAAGAGUUCAUAUCGACGGCGGUGUUUGGCACCUCGAUGUCGGCUCAUCACAUCCUGGGGCUGAAGUAGGUCCCAAGGGUAUGGCUGUUCGCCAUUUAAAGUGGUACGCGAGCUGGGUUUAGAACGUCGUGAGACAGUUCGGUCCCUAUCUGCCGUGGGCGCUGGAGAAUUGAGGGGGGCUGCUCCUAGUACGAGAGGACCGGAGUGGACGCAUCACUGGUGUUCGGGUUGUCAUGCCAAUGGCACUGCCCGGUAGCUAAAUGCGGAAGAGAUAAGUGCUGAAAGCAUCUAAGCACGAAACUUGCCCCGAGAUGAGUUCUCCCUGAGACUUUAAGUCUCCUGAAGGAACGUUGAAGACGACGACGUUGAUAGGCCGGGUGUGUAAGCGCAGCGAUGCGUUGAGCUAACCGGUACUAAUGAACCGUGAGGCUUAACCUUACAACGCCGAAG
rnacentral:rRNA from 1 species